UAUGUAGGGGGCUAGCGUUGUCCGGAAUCAUUGGGCGUAAAGAGCGUGUAGGCGGUCCGGUAAGUCCGCUGUGAAAGUCGGGGGCUCAACCCUCGAAUGCCGGUGGAUACUGUCGGGCUAGAGUGCGGAAGAGGCGAGUGGAAUUCCUGGUGUAGCGGUGAAAUGCGCAGAUAUCAGGAGGAACACCAGUGGCGAAGGCGGCACUCUGGGCCGGAACUGACGCUGAGGAGCGAAAGCGUGGGGAGCGAACAGG
rnacentral:rRNA from 1 species